GAUGCAUGGGUGAUAAACACGGGUCGGGCUAAAUUGAAUCCGGUCCAAAUACAACUAUCACAUACCAGAAUACCCAGCCCGAAAAUCCCUUUCAUUCUUUUUCUUCACCUUCGCCAUCUCCAUGUGCGUCCCCUGCUACCAGUUUCAGUGAGAGCGUAGAUUCUUUCUUUCUCCUUUCAUCUCCUGCACGCCGAAUCAAUUACGCCACCCCCACCGGCCGAACUCGCUCCCCAUUUCUGCGCCCUCAAUCAGCGCGGGCAGAAUGAAAGGGGGGCGAUCGCAUCGCCCUCAGAGCUCUGACCCACCGGAUGAGUGGGUGGACGGGUCGUGGACGGUGGAUUGUAUCUGCGGCGUGACCUUCGAUGACGGCGAGGAGAUGGUGAAGUGCGACGAGUGCGGCGUGUGGGUCCACACGCGCUGCUCGCGGUACGUGAAGGGCGACGACACCUUCGCCUGCGACAAGUGCAAGGCCAGGCACAACAACAACCCGGAGGAGACCGAGGUGGCACAGUUCCUCGUGGAACUCCCCACCAAAACCAUCUCCAUGGACAACAAAAAGGCCCUACCCUCUCGGCCCAGGCUCUGGACUGAUAAGCCCAUCCAGGAGCGGGUCCACGUCCAGGGCCCACCUGGAGGCGACCCUUCCAUCUUUUCGGCCACCUCCGUGUCCUCGAUUUUCUCCCCUCACCUCUGGAAGGCCUGCGGGUACGUUCCCAAGAAGUUUAAUUUCCAGUACAAGGAGUUUCCCUUCUGGAGCGAUAACGAUGAUGAUAUGGAUAACGUUAACGAGAGUUUACAAGCACAAACAGAAGCUCAACCACAGGCACAAGAUAAUAACAAAAACGGGGCUGGGGCUCUUGUUUAUUUGUCUAAAGACGGUGAUAAUAAUGGUGCGGCUCUUGUAUUGGACCCUUCCUCUGUUGAUGCGAGAUCUGGUCACGCGAAGGAAACCGAAACGGGCAAGUUUGGAAGCGAGGAUGUGCCGCCUCGUGUCCGCAGUGAGGUGAAGAAGGAGAGGACUCUGCUGAGACCUCCUGUUGUUCAUAACAGUAAGCGCAGCAAAGGGGAUUUCAGGUCUUCAAAUUCGAAAGACCGGAGCGGGAAGAAGCGGGUUAGGACUACUUCUGACAGAGAGGUGGAUCCCAUGAGGAGAACUCUGCAUUCUUCUAAAUCAGUAUUUACAACCACCGGUGAUGCAAAACAAGUGGACUUUUAUGAGGACAGAGGACCAAAGAUUUUAAAGGCUGACACUAGGAGCAUAAAGAAUAAAAACUUAAAAGAGACAGUUGUUCAAGAAUGUGUUUCUGAUGAUUAUUUGGCUGUUGAUACCAUCAUGGAGGAGCCAAAUAAUAACAUAGCAACUACGGAGGACUCUUCAGAACCAUUAUAUCCUGACACGACUAGACAUGGUGUUUCUGUUGUAGACGUUCCAGCAGAAGAGAAGCCUAAUCAUAAACCUCCUACUGUGGUGGAGAUGUCUUCUAAGACUGAUGAUGCUGUUACAUCGGCUUUAAAGCAGAAUAAUGUUGGAAAUGCUUCAGCUAAAGAAAAGGAUGGGGAUUGCUCAGUAGCUGAUAAUGCAGAUGAUAGUUUAGUAGCCAGAAGUGCUGCAAGUCCUCACACAGAAGGUUAUUGCGGUUCUGCACCAGAACUUGCAGAUAACCAAUUUUCUCAAGAUCUUGAACGCAACAAGCGUACAAGCUCUACAAAAUGCAAAGUUAAGAUGAAGAGGGAAGACGACAUUGAUAAUUUUAAGAAGCCCUCAAUUUUUCAUCCUUCUCCUAUCAGUGAUCUUAAAAACAAUGAAAAACUAUCUGAUCACAAAUCUGAUGUUGAAGUGAAUGAUGCACCAGUUCCUAGUUUACCAUCAUGUGAAAAUAAGGUCGGCAGUGUUGACAUUUCAUCAGAAGUAAUCCCUGCUGAUUAUAUCAAUAAGCCCAAUGAAUUAUCUGGUGAUAUUUGUCCUAGAAAGCAAGAACUGGAGGGUUAUGAAGGUUCCUUGGAAACACAAAAGGUAUUUUCUGAAAUCAAAGAUGGUUCAGAUUCUGCUAAAGAUCCUUCAAGAUCUGAAGCACUUGGAUGUCCAGCUAAAGUGCUAGCAUGUGUUGGAAAGUCAUCUCCAACUUCGUCAACCAUGAACUCCAAAUCAUUGGGUCAUCAUGAUAUCAAAUCUGAAGAUACCGAAACAGCUAAUCCUUUUACAAAGCAUGGAGCGAUGACUGAUUCUAGUGUUCAGAUAAAGAAUGAAAACUGUACAAGUAAUGUUGCCAGGGAUGACAAUCCAAAGAAGUCUGUAAGAGAGCGACCAAAAUCCUCCUUGAAUUCCAAUUCAAAGGGAUUGCAUUCAAGCAGGAGUGUGCAUAAUUCUGUCUCCAAGCAAGCAAACUCAGAUGUGAGGGAUUCCGUUUCAGUAUCUUCCAAGUCUUUGAUACAUCAGACUGCAAGUAUAUCAGGCUCUAGUGAGUCCAAUGUAUCAUUGCACAAUCAGAAGGUUCAAGUGCAGAAUAAGAUUUCAUCUUCAGCACCACAGAAAGUUGAAAAAGUUAACCAAACAAACAUUGCCACUUCCUCUAAGUUGAACCAAGGUCAUGUGCCAUCAACGAAUCCUUCUCCAAUAUCAAAUUCUUCAAUGUUGAGUGAUGAAGAGCUCGCUCUGCUACUGCACCAAGAACUGAAUAGUUCACCCCGUGUACCCCGUGUACCCCGAGCACGCCAUGCAGGUAGCUUGCCCCAGCUUAGUUCUGCUAGUGCUACAAGCAUGCUAAUGAAGCGAACAUCAGGUGGAGGAAAGGAUCAUUAUUUGGUAUCUAGACGAAAACACAAGGAUGCAUCUAGAGAUGGGUCUGGCAGUUCUCGUGAUCUGGAAGAUGAAGCUAAAAAGGUAGAGAAGGAGAAGGGUCCAACCUCUUCUGAUCAGAGGAAACAAGAUAUGUCAUAUAUGGAGGAUGCUCCUGCGAGGGAAGAAGGCCCUGCAUCUAUGACAGCAGCAAACUCAAUCGCAAAAAACAUUGUUUCUUCCACGUCUGCAAUAGCAAACAGUGAUCCUUCCUCCCCUCCAGAGGAUCAGAAUCUAUCAUCCAUGCGAAACUCACCUAGGAAUAUCUCUGAUGAUGAUACAGCGACUGCUGGAAGGCCAGCUCAUCACACCUUACCUGGUUUAAUCAAUGAAAUUAUUAUGAGCAAAGGCAGGCGCAUGACAUAUGAGGAACUCUGUAGUGCUGUGCUACCGCACUGGCAUAACUUGAGGAAACACAAUGGAGAGCGUUACGCAUACUCAAGUCACUCCCAGGCUGUUCUUGAUUGUUUGAGGAACCGGCAAGAAUGGGCAAGGUUGGUUGAUCGUGGUCCAAAGACAAAUUCUAAUAGAAAAAGGCGUAAGCUGGAGGCUGAGGAAUCUGAUGAUAAUGGAUAUGGAAAAGGAAGAACUGGGAAAGAGACGGAAGGGAAGAACUUUGAGUUGCAAAAGGAAGAGUUCCCGAAAGGCAAGCGUAAAGCUCGAAAACGCAGACGCCUUGCUCUUCAGGGAAGAGCAGUGAAGGAUGUAAGGAGGAGACAGAAAACUGACUCACUAACGGAUGAGGAUGUUGGUCCAUUCUCCAAUUCUAGUGAAGAGAGCAUGUUCAGUGAAGAUGAAAUCCAGGUUGGCAGAGUAUGCCCAGCAGGAAGUACAUCAGAUGAGACAGAAAGCUUGGGGUUGUUGUUUGUGAUCUGAGUUGGGGACAAAGAAAGUUGCAGAGGACGUACAUCUGAAGGUUGGAGAUUGUCUUCUUCAGGAGUGAAAUGAAAGGUGACAAUGCAGGAAAUGGUUGGACGCGAAGGACAAUUGGUUCGGCAAAGUCGCAAAGUUGUGGAUCAUCUUCACGGUUACCAUCUCAAAUGUGUGGUUGUGGUGAAACAUUGUUGCUUUUGAAGGCAACUACUGCGAAGAACAAAAACAGACUAUUUUAUAGAUGUAGAAACUGGGCAGUAAGUGACUAAAUCUUUCAGUUCAUGUGCUGAACUUUCUAUUAAUGGUGUGCUAUUUUGAUUAUAGAGUAAUUUAAGUUGUAAUUACUUUGAAUGGCAUGAUGAAGAAGUUUCUGAAAUUCAAGGAAAACGUGAAGAACUUGAAUUGUGUUUGGAAAAUGAUAAAGUUGUACUGGAUCUAAAGAAGAAGAUAGAGAAGUUGAAAAGGAAAUUAGAAGAAGAGUAGAAAGUUGAGAAAAUGAUGUUGUACUUGUUUGUGUUGUCAUGGGCGUUAACCAUUUUCUUUUGUAUUAUGUUUUUAUUGAAGAUGAAUUGUAAUUAAGAAUUAUGAUUGAAUAAAAUUGAGCUUUUGUCCA